rnacentral:misc_RNA from 1 species
CUUUAAAAAUCUGGAUCAAGCUGAAAAUUGAAACACUGAACAACGAAAGUUGUUCGUGAGUCUCUCAAAUUUUCGCAAC